UUGGCGCUCGGUGCGCUUUGGCACGGGGUGGGGGUGCCCGGGGAGGACCCCAAAUUCUCUGCCCCUCGCGUGUCUGCCCGCAGGUGAAGGAGCUGGAGGAGCAGCUGCGUGCCAGGCCGCGGCAGGAGGAGCUGGAGCUGGCCAGGGCUGCGCUGGCUGCGGCCGAGGAGGGGAGGCAGGAGCUGAGGGCGCAGCUGCAGGAGGCGCGCGGGCGGCUGGAGGAGCUGGAGGCGGCCGCGAGUUUGGAGCAGGAGGGGGACCUGGCACGGAGCGAGCCCCCGCCACCGCCGCCACCGCCACCGCUGCCACCGCCUGCGCCCAGCGUCCCCGUGGACCCCCUCUUGGCGCUCAGGCAGAGGAAGGGGCAGGCCAACCCGCAGCACCGGAAACCGGGACCUGGCGAUGCCAAAGCCCGAGCCGUGCAGGAGAUGAUGGAGAGGAUAAAGAACGGGGUGGUGCUGAGACCCGCCAAGGAGCGGGUGGCCCUGAGCCAGUCAGCCAGCAAGCGGAGGAGCGCGGCGCUGGAGCUGCGGGGCAUCCUGGGCGCCAUGCGCAGGGCGAGCAGGAGGACGAGCGGGCGCAGGAGCAGCGUGCGGGGCCAGGACAGGCAGCUGGAGGCCAUCCUGCAGCGACGCCGCCGGGCCAUCGAUGUCCCCGAGUCCCCCCCAGGGCCGGACACCACCGACCCCGACCCCAACCCCGACCCCGACCCCGGGGCUGGGGGCAGGACGGAGCCGGGUCACGAGGAUGCUGGCAGAGCCGCUUCCCCCAGCCCCUGGCACGGGGACGGGGCUGGGGACCCCCUCCAGUUCCGCCCGCGGGCGGUGGGAGGCAUCUCCCGGAGCAGACCCUGCGCCUGGCAGGCUGGAGGGGGGGAGAAGGAGGGGAGGGGGCAGCCCCAAACCCACCCCAAACCUGCCCGGAGCGGGGCGGACGGAGGGGAGCAGGGCUGUCCGUCUGUCCAGCCCUCCGUCCGUCCUGCUUAGGCCACCAGCCGUGUCCCCAGGGCCACCAGGACGCAGCUGCUGGCUUGGGCACGGCAACGCAGAAGAAAUCUGCCCAAAAUUGGGGGAAGAACACUGGGUGGGGGGCGAUGCUGGGGGCAGCGGGGGGGCUCGCCCUUGGCCACGGCGCGGUGGUGGCAGCUCGGGAACCCCCCAAAAUGCCCCAAAGCAUCCAGGGGCAGGGUCUGGG
rnacentral:lncRNA from 1 species